rnacentral:lncRNA from 10 species
UUACAAGCGUGAGCCACCGUGCACAGCCAAGACACAAUUUUAAAUCGAGCGGUCAGGAAGCCUCCUGGAGAAAAUGACGUUUGAACAAAGACAUGAAGAAAGUGGAGAAUAUUUGGAGAAAAGCAUUUCAGGCAGAGGAAAGUGCCAGGGCAGAGGCCCCGAGGCAGGAGGAAGCAACAGAAAACAGGGAAGCAGGUGUCCCAGGAGGAGCCCAAUGCCAUGGAAAGAUGGGAAAAGAGGUGGUGGAUGAGAUCCUGGAUUCUUAUAAAC